rnacentral:tRNA from 1 species
GCCUUCGUGGUGUAAUGGUCAGCACACUGAGCCGGUAUUUCAGAGGUCCGUGGUUCGAUUCCCGGUAAAGGAA